UAUCUCUGUAGAGUCUGCAUAUCAAUAAGCGGAGGAAAAGAAACUAACUAGGAUUCCCUUAGUAACGGCGAGUGAAGCGGGAAGAGCUCAAAUUUGAAAUCUUCAAGGUUCUACCUUGACGAAUUGUAGUUUAAAGAAGUGUUUUCUGUUGGAGUUUUGGUAAAAGUUCUUUGGAAUAGGACAUCAUAGAGGGUGAGAAUCCCGUAUUUGACCAUUAUUUCCAGCUUUGUGAUACACUUUCAAAGAGUCGGAUUGUUUGGGAAUGCAGUCCAAAAUGGGUGGUAAAUUUCAUCUAAAGCUAAAUACUGGCGAGAGACCGAUAGCGAACAAGUGCCGUGAGGGAAAGAUGAAAAGAACUUUGAAAAGAGAGUUAAACAGUACGUGAAAUUGUCAAAAGGGAAGCGUUUGACACCAGUGUUGUUUUUCCGAAAAUCAAUUACGAAUGGCUUGAUUCUGUGUUGUAUUGACCUUAUCAGCUUUCUUCACUUUUUUCGAGUCUUUCUUAAUGCACUUUUCGGUUAACAAGUCAACAUCAAUUUCUUUUGUUGUAAAAGAGUAUUCGGAAGGUGGCUUUCUUUUCGGAGAAAGUGUUUAUAGCCCUAUACUUCUACAAUCGGAGAGAUUGAGGUCUGCAGCGUAGAUCCUUCGGGGUUAGAUACACUUGUGCUAAGUUGUAGCUUUUCAUAGACAACUUGUUGACUAUGUUUAGUCAUGCGGCUUACUCGCUUGUGCUAUUUUACCUACGCUUAGGAUGUUGACGAGACUGUCGAUCUC
rnacentral:rRNA from 1 species